rnacentral:pre_miRNA from 1 species
AUCCGCAAAAACUACUAGUAGACCACAUUUGGAUGCGGCCCUAGUAGUUAUUUGCGGAUCA